GCCCUUAUGGCGUAGUGGUAGCGCGUGGCACUUGUAACCCUUGAUCGUCGAGGAUGAUUUAAAUUAAAUAAAUCAUCCACAACACGACAAGGUCUCCAAAAUGCCAAGGUCAUUGGUUCAAACCCAGUUGGGGGCA